rnacentral:tRNA from 1 species
AACAACGUAGUUUAUUUAGAAUUUUGGGUUUGCGUCUCAAAGGAGGAAUAGCUAUUCUCGUCGUUA